rnacentral:rRNA from 1 species
AUUGAACGCUGGCGGCAGGCUUAACACAUGCAAGUCGAGCGGGGUGAUGGUGCUUGCACUAUCACUUAGCGGCGGACGGGCGAGUAAUGCUUAGGAAUCUGCCUAUUAGUGGGGGACAACAUCUCGAAAGGGAUGCUAAUACCGCAUACGUCCUACGGGAGAAAGCAGGGGAUCACUUGUGACCUUGCGCUAAUAGAUGAGCCUAAGUCGGAUUAGCUAGUUGGUGGGGUAAAGGCCUACCAAGGCGACGAUCUGUAGCGGGUUUGAGAGGAAGAUCCGCCAAACUGGGACUUGGACAAGGCCCAGACUCCUACGGGAGGGAGCAGUGGGGAAUAUUGGACAAUGGGGGGAACCCUGAUCCAGCCAUGCCGCGUGUGUGAAGAAGGCCUUAUGGUUGUAAAGCACUUUAAGCGAGGAGGAGGCUCUUUUGGUUAAUACCCAAGAUGAGUGGACGUUACUCGCAGAAUAAGCACCGGCUAACUCUGUGCCAGCCGCCGCCGUAA